rnacentral:rRNA from 1 species
CCUAGGGGAGGCAGCAGUGGGGAAUAUUGCACAAUGGGCGCCAAGCCUGAUGCAGCCAUGCCGCGUGUAUGAAGAAGCCCUUCGGGUUGUAAAGUACUUUCAGCGGGGAGGAAGGUGUUGUGGUUAAUAACCGCAGCAUAUUGACGUUACCCGCAGAAGAAGCACCGGCUAACUCCGUGCCAGCAGCCGCGGUAAU